rnacentral:rRNA from 1 species
GACGAACGCUGGCGGCGUGCUUAACACAUGCAAGUCGAACGGAAAGGCCCUGCUUUUGUGGGGUGCUCGAGUGGCGAACGGGUGAGUAACACGUGAGUAACCUGCCCUAGACUUUGGGAUAACUUCAGGAAACUGGGGCUAAUACCGGAUAGGAGCUCCUGCUGCAUGGUGGGGGUUGGAAAGUUUCGGCGGUUGGGGAUGGACUCGCGGCUUAUCAGCUUGUUGGUGGGGUAGUGGCUUACCAAGGCUUUGACGGGUAGCCGGCCUGAGAGGGUGACCGGCCACAUUGGGACUGAGAUACGGCCCAGACUCCUACGGGAGGCAGCAGUGGGGAAUAUUGCACAAUGGGCGGAAGCCUGAUGCAGCAACGCCGCGUGCGGAAUGACGGCCUUCGGGUUGUAAACCGCUUUCGCCUGUGACGAAGCGUGAGUGACGGUAAUGGGUAAAGAAGCACCGGCUAACUACGUG